rnacentral:lncRNA from 1 species
GUUUAAAGAUUAAAUAAUAAUAGACAAAAAUACAGACUACAGAGAGAAAAAAAAAAGAAUUGGGAAAAAUAUAUUUUAGUAAAACAUAUAAAGAAAAGAGAAAAAUAGUUAAAAACAAAAAAGAAUAGAGACUAAUUGGGUGCUGAAUAGUAGAGUAGAGAACAAAGGGGACAACAGGAAUAAGGAUAGAGAAAAUGGGCAGGAGAAAAAUUGACAAAACAAAUAUUUUUUUUUUUGAGAAUAAAAAAAAAUUGUCUGUAAAAUAGAAAGUAAUAGGGUGCAACAUUAUAAAGAGUAUAGAAAAAUAGACAAAUAAAAGAAAGAAAAAAGAGAAAAAAAAUUAAGAAUGAAAAAUGAAGGACCACCUAUCCAUUUCCUCAUGCAUGCCUUUUGAUAAUACGAGCAUAUAUUUUGAUAUGACCAAAUUAUAUUCAUUUACAUCAUACUGACAACCUUGGUCUAAAACUUGGCAAUUGAUCGCAGUAUUAACUCGAACUAAGCAUUCAUAUAAAUUAUUUGAACACCGCUUGAAAGAUUACAUGCAAAUAACUUCAAGUGUUGGUGCAACCCAUCCAAGGAUCAUUGAAAAUGUCUGUCAAUGUGAAGGUUUAAAGUUAGACAGCGAAUUUGUUUUAAAAUCUGAUAAGUAAAUACUUAUAAAGAAGAAAACAGUUUGGGUUAGAGAUUACAUAUGAUUUGAACUAGAACUAUGUAACGAUUGGACUGCACCAACGCACCAGCAUGUACUGUUAUUUAUAGGCGCGAAAACUAUGUAGACCGUUUGAGAUUGCGAAGCAAUUCAGAAGAUCAAAGAACCAUUAGCGUUUAAUGAGCUGUUGUAUCACUUACUAGCAGGAUCAAAGCAUUGGUUUACUACAUUUAGGUGUAGGCCAAUAUUAUGAAGGACAACUUACGAAAUGACUACCUGUGAGAUACAUACUUGUUUUAUUACUAGUAACCAUUUUUCACGAAAAGAAUAUUAUUAGGAUUUGUUCAAAGGUGUAGUGUAAUUUUUGUUAGUUUAAUUUGUUACGGAAUAUAGAAAAUUAAAUCCAGUGUAAUGAAUCAGGACGAAAAUUAAGUUAUAUGAAAAUGUUUCUUUAACGAGGAAUUUAAACAAUUUCAAUAUUGUACCUAAAACUUAAACAGACUGCAUGUAUAUCCAGAAAUAAUUAGUAUAUAUUAUUUGCGGAAGAUAUCGAAUCUUUUCUUACGGUUCACAAGUUAAUCGGCAAUUGAUGGAUUGAAGACGGUAUUGGUUAACUCAACAGUAAACGACAAUUUUGAAGAAAGAAGUUCGGAAUCCAUUCAUUGACAUGAUAAACAAAUACAUUUAUAUUUGAAAAGGUAAAACUAAAGUGUUUUAAAAUGUAAAAGAUUUUCCUAGUGCAAUAACUCUUUACGGUUUAUUAUCCCAUAUCCUUUCGGAC